CCUGGAAGCAAAGGAGCAGAAUCCACUUUACCGCAUUCCUUUGGUUUAAUUUCUCCAGUCUCCAGAAUGGGCUCUCUCCUGGCUUUAUAAAAGUGGCUCCAUUUUAAGGUCUCUGUGGUGCAAACCACACAACAUGGACCUCCUCCCAAAGGGCAGGUAUCCAGUCAGGUGGAGGGACCAAAACUGGAGCAGCUGGCUCUGGCACUUGGAAGCAGGACCUUCAGAGACAGAACCACCAGAAAAGGAGGUUUGGAUCACUCUACCUGGUAAAGAGAUGCUUGCUGAAGGCAGAGGGAGGAGGAAAUGAGUAGGAAAGCAAGACCAUUAAUCCCAACGCAGCCUCUUGAAGAGUUCACAGACAUGAGUUCCCUUAUUUCCCCACGACCCUAUACUUCAUGUGUGUUGGUGGAUCAUUUGGAUCAUCUUGAGGGACAUCAGAGACCAAAUUGUAACAGAAAUGGAAAAGGGAGAGAGCAUCAGUGAGCGAUGGGACUUUGGGUUGGUUGCCUUGAAGACCUGGUGGAUGUGCUUCCAGAAGGCUGAGCAGAGGCAAUGUGGCAUUUGGUAGAAGGAUUUGUUUUGUUUUAGAAUGAAAUGUUGGAUGAAGAAAGUAUCAUGAUAUUAGGAAAAGGUGGACUGUGAUGGAAAUUUGUAAUUUUUUGAUGCUUGCCAUCAAAACACUUUCCACCUUGGAAGAUCCAAAGAUAUGUGGAGAGAAAACUCCCCCCGCCCUACUACCAAAGCUAAAGGGGGUAGAUGUUCUGUCUUCUCCCCGGCAGUCAGGGCACAUGGAGAGGCUCAGGCAGUUGGAUAUUCCUCCCAAUAUCCAAAAUGGGAUUUUUGAGUCAUGGGAGAAGGACAUGAUGCAAGACAGUUGAGAGUUAACUGGAGGGUGCCGAGUGUCCAAUAGGGCGAGUGUUAGCAUCCUCACUGGAGUGCUCCUGGGGUAUGAUCUUGGAUAUAUUCCCAGAUGCAUAAUCGUCCUUGGUUACAUUUUCCUCAGUCAUUUCUUCCACUUUAUGUGCUACAAGAUUACCUUUUUUUUUUUAAUUUAUUUAUUUGAAAGACAGAGAUCAACGUAGGCAGAGAGGCAGGCAGAGAG